rnacentral:rRNA from 1 species
UGUUAGGUUAAGUCCUGCAACGAGCGCAACCCUUACCCCCAGUUGCCAGCAGUCAGAUGGGGACUCUGGGGGAACUGCCCGCGCAAGCGCGGAGGAAGGUGGGGAUGACGUCAAAUCAGCACGGCCCUUACGUCCAGGGCGACACACGUGCUACAAUGGUCGGUACAGAGGGCAGCUACACUGCGAAGUGAUGCGAAUCUCGAAAGCCGGUCUCAGUUCGGAUCGGAGUCUGCAACUCGACUCCGUGAAGUUGGAUUCGCUAGUAAUCGCGCAUCAGCCAUGGCGCGGUGAAUACGUUCCCGGGCCUUGUACACACCGCCCGUCAAGCCAUGGGAGNNGGGGGUACCUGAAGUNCGUGACCGCAAGGAGCGNCCUAGGGUAAAACCGAUGACUGGGGCUAAGUCGUAACAAGGUAGCCGUACCGGAAGGUGUGGCUGGAAUACCUCCUUUCUGGA